rnacentral:rRNA from 1 species
CACGUAGGCUGUGCCGUAAGUGCGGGGUGAAAUCCCACGGCUUACCCGUGGAACGGCCCUGCAGACUGCGGUGCUAGAGGAUGGUAGGGGAGAGCAGAACUCCUGGUGGAGCGGUGAAAUGCGUAGAGAUCAGGAGGAACACCGGUGGCGAAGGCGGCUCUCUGGUCCAUUUCUGACGCUGAGGUGCGAAAGCUAGGGGAGCAAACG